rnacentral:rRNA from 1 species
GGGUUAAGUCCCGCAACGAGCGCAACCCUCGUUCCAUGUUGCCAGCGCGUAAGGGCGGGGACUGAGGGGAGACUGCCGGGGUCAACUCGGAGGAAGGUGGGGACGACGUCAAAUCAUCAUGCCCCUUAUGUCUUGGGCUUCACGCAUGCUACAAUGGCCGGUACAAUGGGUUGCGAUACUGUGAGGUGGAGCUAAUCCCAAAAAGCCGGUCUCAGUUCGGAUUGGGGUCUGCAACUCGACCCCAUGAAGUCGGAGUCGCUAGUAAUCGCAGAUCAGCAACGCUGCGGUGAAUA